rnacentral:tRNA from 1 species
GGUGAAGUGCCGGAUUUAAACGGGAUGCGAUGAUGAUGCAGAACAUGAGAGGUUUGCUCUUCUUUACCU